GGAAUAUCCGCCGAACGAAGGGAUGAUCGGUGCCGUUAUUGCAGAAGGGGUGGCUCAUCUGAAGUCACUGUUGGACUUGAAGAAGUUCCAGAAAGUGAUGAGUCUGUCCAAGAAUGGAUAACUGUGAUCAUAAGGAUGAAGCCUAGUCCGGAGAACCUUUCUUCCAUCAAGAUGGAGAUUGUUGAGAACUACCCUCGUUUCAUCGAUGUACCAUAUCUGAUCGACAGUUUGAGAAGAUGUUUCCAUACAAGACAGACAUCUUUCUACACAAAUGGGACCAAAGUUGUUGAAGCUGGCUGCUCUUGAAGGAAAAGAUGAACCACCAGAAGCUGAGAGUGCUGAAUGAAGGUGCUGUAGAGCACUGAAGAUGCUCACACAUGAUCUGCCCCCUACUGGGUCAACAAGAUCUAUGGGAUGGACAAAAUGCAGCAUCAAAUCAGUGCUGUCCUACAUUAAACAAGCAAGAA